AGUGAACGCUGGCGGUAGGCCUAACACAUGCAAGUCGAACGGCAGCACAGUAUGAGCUUGCUCUUACGGGUGGCGAGUGGCGGACGGGUGAGGAAUACAUCGGAAUCUACUUUUUCGUGGGGGAUAAGGUAGGGAAACUUACGCUAAUACCGCAUACGACCUACGGGUGAAAGCAGGGGAUCUUCGGACCUUGCGCGAUUGAAUGAGCCGAUGUCGGAUUAGCUAGUUGGCGGGGUAAAGGCCCACCAAGGCGACGAUCCGUAGCUGGUCUGAGAGGAUGAUCAGCCACACUGGAACUGAGACACGGUCCAGACUCCUACGGGAGGCAGCAGUGGGGAAUAUUGGACAAUGGGCGCAAGCCUGAUCCAGCCAUACCGCGUGGGUGAAGAAGGCCUUCGGGUUGUAAAGCCCUUUUGUUGGGAAAGAAAAGCAGCAGGUUAAUACCCCGCUGUUCUGACGGUACCCAAAGAAUAAGCACCGGCUAACUUCGUG
rnacentral:rRNA from 1 species